GGUGACCGUAGGGAGCACCUGAGGUCUGUGAUAUGGACGGCUGUUGCUGUCCGUAAACUGCUGCUCCUCAUCACUAUUUUGACCCAGACAUUUGGCAUCAGCUCAGAGCAUAGGGGGUUGGGCAAAAAGCAUGGAGCCAAACCCAGGUCUCACACACCGCCAAGCCCUGGGUGAACUUUGAUGCAUGGCCGACUCAGAUCCAGGACUUUCAGGAGGACAAAGGCUGCAUAUAGCAGGCCCUGGAGUUUACUCUGUCUCAUACUCCACUUCGGCCUGGGCCGGCUUGCUGUGGCCUGCCUGGCACCUGUUCCCAACAUGGGUGGCUCAACUGACUUGGAACGUGGAGUCCUUGCUACCCUGUGGGACCCUUGUCUGCUGCUACCCUCACUCAACCAUUCAGGGCACCACCUUGACGAACGCCUUCAACAGGCUGAAGUCGCCGUCACCCGGCAGGCACGCAGCCAGAGGUAGAGCCAUCCUGUCAUUCCCCAGUGGGCGUGGGCACGCAAGAAGCCAGACCGCUCCAUCACCUGUGAAUCUAUCUGCCUGGAAGGCAGGUGCCUUUGUAGGCAUGCACACACCCAGCUGACCUGGUCGGAGCCGAGGUCCCCCUGGGCUGGGGCCCGACCCGUAAGCCGCAGGGCCCCAUCCUUAACAGCAGGGUCCUUGGCCAUGCUGCCCGCUGCACCAAGGCAUGGCAGUGCCAGGCUUGAGAGGGGAGCUGCUGACAAGCGAGCCCCUUUGCCCAUGCCAGGUCACCCAGCAGUCCGGGGAAGCUUGGUUGGCCCCAAGGGUGGGGGGGGGGUGCUGCAGACGGAACCCCAACCCCCAGCCACGCCGCCUCGGGGCUGGGCUCAGGGCCCAGCAUCCCCCCCCCCCAAA